rnacentral:rRNA from 1 species
CGCAUCUGUGCAUGCAGCAUAUCAAUAAGCGGAGGAAAAGAAACUAACAAGGAUUCCCCUAGUAACGGCGAGUGAAGCGGGAAGAGCUCAAAUUUGAAAUCUUAAAGGGUUCCCUUUACGAAUUGUAGUUUAAAGAAGUGUUUUCUGUUAAGGUUUUGGUAAAAGUUCUUUGGAAUAGGACAUCAUAGAGGGUGAGAAUCCCGUAUUUGACCUUUACUUUCAACUUUGUGAUACACUUUCAAAGAGUCGGAUUGUUUGGGAAUGCAGUCCAAAAUGGGUGGUAAAUUUCAUCUAAAGCUAAAUAUUGGCGAGAGACCGAUAGCGGACAAGUACCGUGAGGGAAAGAUGAAAAGAACUUUGAAAAGAGAGUUAAACAGUACGUGAAAUUGUCAAAAGGGAAGCGUUUGACACCAGUGUUGUUUUUCUGAAAAUCAAUUAAAGAACUGUUUAUGCUAAGUUGUUUAGACUUUAUCAGCUAACUGUUUAGUUUUGAGCUUUUCUUUAAUGCACUUUUCAGUUAACAAGUCAACAUCAAUUUCUUUUGCUGUAAAAAAGCUUGAGGAAGGUGGCUUGAGAUUCGUCUUAAGUGUUUAUAGCCUCUUGCCUAUGCAGUCGGAGAGAUUGAGGUCUGCAGCGUAGAUCCUUCGGGGCUAAAUGCAGUUUGUGCUAAGUUAUAGCAUUUUAUAGACAACUUGUUGACUAUGAUUUGUCUUGUAGCUUACUCGCUUAUGUUAUUUUACCUACGCUUAGGAUGUUGAACGCGCACAGAGUCUC